rnacentral:misc_RNA from 1 species
ACGAGCGAAUAAAUGGUAUCCGCGAACAAAGGAAACGUCGGAGGAGUCUCCAUCGACCUCCUCCCACUUCCGAUAAUUCCGAAAACUCAUUUGAAGACUUCGCUGAGAAGCGUAAAAUACAGGUAGACGAGUAAUUGUGCGGUUGUAGAGCAACGGAAACGACCACGAUAGAGAGAAUGAACGAUUUCGGAUGAACUAAGACCGAUCCCAAGACACGUCUGAUAAUGGCCACUACUCUAAUACCACCACCGGCAUUCGCCACCACCUUCAGCACCACCUUCAGCACUACCACCACCACCACCACCAGCACUACUACCUGCAUUACUGUCGAGAGUUCCUAGGAAAUAAAAUGGCAAAUUAUCCCUUCGCAAGGAUA